rnacentral:misc_RNA from 1 species
GUGAGUCAUCGAAUCUUUGAACGCACAUUGCGCCCAUUGGUAUUCCGAUGGGCAUGCCUGUUCGAGCGUCAUUAUCCUCCCUCAAACCUCGUGUUUGGUGUUGGACCGCGUUGGUCGAGCGACCAACUGGUCUCAAAGACAAUGACGGCGUCCGUGGGACCCUCGGUGCAACGAGCUUCUAAGGAGCACGCGUCGAGUUUCAAGGACCCUCCGGGCCGGUCUUGACCUCUAUCUUCUCAAGGUUGACCUCGGAUCAGGUAGGAAUACCCGCUGAACUUAAGCAUAUCAAUAAGCGGAGGA